GACGAACGCUGGCGGCGUGCUUAACACAUGCAAGUCGAACGGAAAGGCCCUGCUUGCAGGGUACUCGAGUGGCGAACGGGUGAGUAACACGUGGGUGAUCUGCCCUGCACUUCGGGAUAAGCCUGGGAAACUGGGUCUAAUGCCGGAUAGGAGCCAUUUUUAGUGUGAUGGUUGGAAAGUUUUUUCGGUGUAGGAUGAGCUCGCGGCCUAUCAGCUUGUUGGUGGGGUAAUGGCCUACCAAGGCGGCGACGGGUAGCCGGCCUGAGAGGGUGGACGGCCACAUUGGGACUGAGAUACGGCCCAGACUCCUACGGGAGGCAGCAGUGGGGAAUAUUGCACAAUGGGCGCAAGCCUGAUGCAGCGACGCCGCGUGGGGGAUGACGGCCUUCGGGUUGUAAACUCCUUUCGCUAGGGACGAAGCUUUUUGUGACGGUACCUAGAUAAGAAGCACCGGCUAACUACGUG
rnacentral:rRNA from 1 species